AGGUCAUUUCAAAGAAGGCUUAUGUGGCUAUGAAAUCAGAAUCUUUUAAUGCUGUGAACAAGGUUUAAUUUCUCCAUAAUAGUCACUCAAUGGUGCUGUUUUCCUGAGGAGAUACAAGA
ensembl:snoRNA